UACGGAGGGGACUAGCGUUGUUCGGAAUUACUAGGCGUAAAGCGCACGUAGGCGUAUUUGUAAGUCAGGGGUGAAAUCCCGGGGCUCAACCUCGGAACUGCCUUUGAUACUGCAAAUCUCGAGUCCGGAAGAGGUGAGUGGAAUUCCUAGUGUAGAGGUGAAAUCCGUAGAUAUUAGGAAGAACACCAGUGGCGAAGGCGGCUCACUGGUCCGGUACUGACGCUGAGGUGCGAAAGCGUGGGGAGCAAGCAGG
rnacentral:rRNA from 1 species